UAUGGAGCCUAUACCUACGUGCCACGUGUAUAGGCUCCAUAGUCAGCUGUGCGAGCUAACUUUUUAGAAAUUGUAAUAUCUGUUAAUGUACGUUUUAGAAAUAAUGACCACAGCAAGUGCAGGUCACCGAUAAAAAUAAGAUGCACGUUGCAGUGAUGGCAGUUUAGAGGUGACAACGAGAACACUCUCCCUUCGUCUUGCACCAUCGGAGUUUUUCUCUCGCGAGUGAUGUAUUUGAAGAAUGGAGUAGACUUUUUAAAUGCCACGGAAAGAAAUAAACAUAAUUGUUGCCGUUUACACGAUAUGUACAAUCAACUGUCAAUUCAUUCAUCGCAAUCCUGGCAUUCUUAUUAAUUAAAGCUUAACAAUCGACGAAAAAUGAGUUCGCUUACUUGUUAUAAAUACUACCUGAUAUGACGGAUUAUAAGGAGACCGUCGAUGAGGCCGGUGACAAAGACAACGGCAGUUUUGUACGAGUCUAAACCAAUUAACGACGCUUAGCUUUAGUCCAACAGUUUUUUAAUGGGUUAACGACUUUCUAGUCAUGAUGAGCUUAUACGGUGCUCGUCAAUGUAUCAUGGGAAGAAGAAUUCUAACAAUUUGCAAUAAAUCAAGAGAAAAUACUUAAAAAAUGGCUGUCAGCAGGCUGGAUCGCAAAUUAUCACACGAACGUUGUCUACUAGACGAGGAAAAAUGUAGAGGACAAAUCGCUGAGGAGCAACGUAACUCUUUACAGCACAGGUCAUUGAGCGCAAGUUCAAGAAAAAUUCUAAGCAUGACUGUUACGACAAUAUUUAAAAAAGAAGUUUUUCAAGAAGAGAGGAGUUCCCAAUUUAUCCUAAUGUGUCAGUAAAUUAACUGAGAAUAAAAUUGUUACUGACAUACCCGAAACCAAAGCGUCUGAAAAAUUACAAACCAUCGUCAUGAAUAAUUGGACUGAGAUAGAAGAUUUUACUUUGGUAACUUUGCGUCUGUGGCGACAUGGAGUCAACCAAAAAUUUAAUCGUUUGCGAGGUGACGGGGAUGAUUCAAUUUGGGAAUCUAUUAGCCGAGCCAGCGUUUUUACUCUACGAAACAAGACGGCUGCCAUGUGUAAAGAACGGUUUCAAAUUAUACUAGAAAAUUAUUUAAUGUAUUUUAAUAUGUCUGACCGGCAGCAAGAAAUGGUUAGCCGUCCUCCUUAUUCCGACGAUUUUGAUCAAUUUAUCAUGCAUUUCUGCAAUAACGCACAGGAGUAAUCUGCACCCAUUCACAAGUAACGUCACUUCUGGUUCACUAAAUGUAUCUGGUGAGCAUCUGAAUAACUCAGGUACCACUUCAAGAGUCACUACAUCGACCCCAUCGUCUGUGUUUAUACUUGUUAAUAGUAUAUUACACAUCGAGGGAAGUAAAGUAAGAAAUGUCUCAGAUCACAUGUAAUUGUUGGCCGAGGCGAAGCCGAGGUCAACAAACAUGUGAUCUGAGGCUUUCUUAUUUACUUUCCGAGGAGUGUAUGCUAUUUUUCUCCUCGACGGAGGCGGAAAGCGGCAACUUCGUUUUGCACAGCGGGACGAAAGUUGACGCUUUCCGCCCGUCGAGGAGAAAAAAAUUUGUGUGUUUCAUGUUUAUGCGCUGUAUUAUUCAUUUUUAUGAUUUUGCAAUAAAAUAUUAAGAAUUUAAAAACUAAGACAUUUAAAUAUAAUUAUAUAUUAAUAUAAAUUUAAUACAUGAAGAUGAUUUUAAAUGAAGCAAUUGGUGCGAUGAUGGUAAUUAUUAUAAUUAUU